rnacentral:rRNA from 1 species
AUGGUCACACAAUCUACCACGAUCGGACCGUCACCAUCGACCCAGUAUAUCCUGGUAGUAGUACUAGUAGAAUUGAGAUUUAAUGCACUUUCUUCCCCGUCUUCCACUGUUCUUCCUCCUCUCUUCCCCGUCAUCGGCCGCACACCAUUUACCCCCGCUCACUACUCGCCCGCCCGCACCAUCUUCCUUGGUAGCUCGCGCAAUUAUCGAUGCAAGUCCAAGAAGGAUUGGACGGUGCUGCCGGCUGGCGUCAAGUUCGAUCCCACGGAUCAGGAGCUGAUCGAGCACCUUAAGGCCAAAGUGAGUGCUGACAGCACGAGAUUUCACCCUCUUAUCGAUUUAUUCAUACCAACCAUCGACAGCGAGCACGACAUAUGCUACACCCAACCUGAGAAACUUCCAGGUAUCACACUGAGUGGCCUAAGGAAGCAUUUCUUCCAGCGCAAUUCCAGGGCGUUCAAAAGGGGCAUGUGGAUGCCUCGCAAGAUACAGUUGGAGUGCGACAUGCACGCGAUGUGGCACAAGACCAGCAAUACCUUGCCGGUGAUGGUCAACGGCCGGCAGAUAGGCAGCAAAAAGGUUCUGGUGCCGCACACCAACAAGAACUUCGACCAACAGAGGACCAACUGGGUGAUGCACCAGUACCACCUCGGGGACCUGGAGCAAGACAAGGAGUGGGAGCUGGUCCUCUGCAAGAUUUUCUACCAGACGAACACUAGGGCCAGGAGUAAAAAGAUUAUAAGUUAG